UAAGUGCAUGUAUGGUGCUA
rnacentral:miRNA from 1 species